AACGUAGGUGGCGAGCGUUAUCCGGAUUUACUGGGCGUAAAGCGUGUGCAGGCGGGGGACCAAGUGGUGGAUGAAAUUUCCCGGCUUAACCGGGAAGGGUUAUGCCAGACUGGUUUUCUGGAGUGCGAGAGAGGGGCGUGGAAUUCCGGGUGUAGUGGUGAAAUGCGUAGAGAUCCGGAGGAACCCCAGAGGCGAAGGCGGCGCCCUGGCUCGCAACUGACGCUCAGACACGACAGCAUGGGGAGCGAACGGG
rnacentral:rRNA from 1 species